CCCUUAGAUGUUCUGGGCCGCACGCGCGCUACACUGAUGCAUUCAACGAGUCCAACCUUGACCGAGAGGUCCGGGUAAUCUUUGAAACUGCAUCGUGAUGGGGCUAGAUUAUUGCAAUUAUUAAUCUUCAACGAGGAAUGCCUAGUAAGCGUGAUUCAUCAAAUCGCGUUGAUUACGUCCCUGCCCUUUGUACACACCGCCCGUCGCUCCUACCGAUUGAGUGUGUUGGUGAGGAGUUUGGAUUGGCCUCGGAAGGUGGUUCGCCACCGUCCGUAGCUGAGAAGUUCUCCAAACCGCCCCACUUAGAGGAAGGAGAAGUCAUAACA
rnacentral:rRNA from 1 species